CUGAGCGAAAUGACGUCAUAAUAGAUCAUACAGUUCUAUAUUUGGGAGAUGGGGAAUUAUGUACAUUAUUUACAUUAUUUACAUUUGACGGAUAUUUGCCCUCAUCUUGUUUGUUGUUAACACAAGUAACCUGUUCACUUUCCUUUCUGGAUAAAAUUCAGCCAAAGUUGAACAGAUUAUGAUGUUACAAUAUCACAUGACCGGAUGAACAGAGACCUGCAACGAACAGAAACCGGUGUCGUCAACUUGCCGCUCGACGUGCUCAAGAGCAGAGACAGAACUGGUCUCAUCGAUAUCGCAAACAACAUCGGCCUACAAUAAUGCAACAUCACCUGUCUAAAAUUGCAAGAACUGAAUUAAAUAGAUUUGACUAUCA